UACGUAGGGGGCAAGCGUUGUCCGGAUUCAUUGGGCGUAAAGAGCGUGUAGGCGGCCGGGUAGGUCGGUUGUGAAAACUGGAGGCUUAACCUCCAGACGUCGACGGAAACCGCGUGGCUAGAGUCCGGAAGAGGAGAGUGGAAUUCCUGGUGUAGCGGUGAAAUGCGCAGAUAUCAGGAAGAACACCAAUGGCGAAGGCAGCUCUCUGGGACGGUACUGACGCUGAGACGCGAAAGCGUGGGGAGCGAACAGG
rnacentral:rRNA from 1 species